rnacentral:rRNA from 1 species
AAAUUGAAGAGUUUGAUCAUGGCUCAGAUUGAACGCUGGCGGCAGGCCUAACACAUGCAAGUCGAACGGUAACAGGAAGCAGCUUGCUGCUUUGCUGACGAGUGGCGGACGGGUGAGUAAUGUCUGGGAAACUGCCUGAUGGAGGGGGAUAACUACUGGAAACGGUAGCUAAUACCGCAUAACGUCGCAAGACCAAAGAGGGGGACCUUCGGGCCUCUUGCCAUCGGAUGUGCCCAGAUGGGAUUAGCUAGUAGGUGGGGUAAAGGCUCACCUAGGCGACGAUCCCUAGCUGGUCUGAGAGGAUGACCAGCC